CCUGCCCUAUGGUUUUAAAUGGCCGCGGUGUCAGAAGCUGUGCGAAGGUAGCAUAAUAACAUCUUUUUAAAUGGGAGAUAGAAUGAAAGGGGUGACUAGAAAUCUGCUGUGUGAAGUGGGGUUUUAGAAUUUUAUGAGAGGGUUAAAAAUCCUUCUAAUUUUAAAGGGACGAUAAGACCCUGGGAGCUUAAAAAUGGGUGAUUUUUUAACUGGGGCGGUUUGUAAUAAAAACAUUAAAUUUAGAACAAUUUGAAUGGAGUUAAUGAUCUUUUUUUGAGCAUGAAGUUGAAAGCUACCCCAGGGAUAACAGCGUAAUUGAAUUGGGGAGGCGAUCUAAAAU
rnacentral:rRNA from 1 species